UGUGAUAGAGAUUUUGUGGAAGUGAAACUUUGAGUUAGUUGGGUUGUUAGUAGGUUAUUGGGGAGUUGAGAGUUAGUAGAAGUGUAGUCAAAUUAAAUAAUUUUUAUUUUUAUUUUUAAUUUAUCUUUUUUUUCCUUUUCUCGAAAUUCCCCUUAUUCUGACGUUUUUCUUUCUUCCCUUUCUAUGCUCUGUCGAUUUUCUCUCUUUUCCCUUUGACUCUACCAAAAUUCUUUAAUCACAUUACUCUACUUCAUAACCGUGGUUCCUUUGUUCGGUUC
rnacentral:lncRNA from 1 species